rfam:Camelus ferus unplaced genomic scaffold scaffold400, whole genome shotgun sequence.
GGAGGUAUAGCUCAGUGGUAGAGCGUGUGCUUCGCAUGCACAAGGUUCUGGGUUCAAUCCCCAGUACCUCCA